UACAGAGGUCCCAAGCGUUGUUCGGAUUCCCUGGGCGUAAAGGGUGCGUAGGUGGCCAGGUAAGUUCGGUGUGAAAGCUCGGAGCUUAACUCCGAAAUGUCAUUGAAUACUAUCUGGCUAGAGGGUCGGAGGGGAGACUGGAAUUCUCGGUGUAGCAGUGAAAUGCGUAGAUAUCGAGAGGAACACCAGUGGCGAAGGCGAGUCUCUGGACGACUCCUGACACUGAGGCACGAAAGCUAGGGGAGCAAACAGG
rnacentral:rRNA from 1 species